rnacentral:RNase_P_RNA from 1 species
AUCAUCGGCAUUCCUACCAGUACAACCUGCUUGCACACCAUCUUUCAUGAUGCUCAAAGCAGGUGGGAAAUUCGGUGGAACACAGCGAAAUAACUUGCGAUGUACUUGUACAUCUGGGUUAGUACCAAAAGGCUACUUUUGUAGACUUGUUUCUCGUGAGAGAACUUCACUGGAAAGUGAGUGUUGGUCGCUGCUAUCAGAAAUAUACACGCCUUGGCGUGAUGGGAAUGGCAGCGGAUGUUUCGUUUGACUUUGUCUCUUCAAAACUGAGAUUCAAAGGUCUGUUGAGUGCAAUGGUAGGAGAACGCACUUUAUCGUGCGUUUAACCCGAUACCGAUUAUUGUCGAUGUU